rnacentral:rRNA from 1 species
CACAUGCAGUCGAACGAAGCUUGACGAAUGAUUUCUUCGGAAUGAAAUCUGAUAUGACUGAGUGGCGGACGGGUGAGUAACGCGUGAGCAACCUGCCCUUCGGAACGGGAUAGUGUCUGGAAACGGACAGUAAUACCGUAUAACGUAUUUUUACCGCAUGAUAGAAAUACCAAAACUGAGGUGCCGAAGGAUGGGCUCGCGUCUGAUUAGAUAGUUGGUGGGGUAACGGCCUACCAAGUCGACGAUCAGUAGCCGGACUGAGAGGUUGAACGGCCACAUUGGGACUGAGACACGGCCCAGACUCCUACGGGAGGCAGCAGUGGGGAAUAUUGCACAAUGGGGGAAACCCUGAUGCAGCAACGCCGCGUGAAGGAAGACGGUUUUCGGAUUGUAAACUUCUGUUCUUAGUGAAGAAUAAUGACGGUAGCUAAGGAGCAAGCCACGGCUAACUACGUGCCAGCAGCCGCGGUAAUACGUAGGUGGCAAGCGUUGUCCGGAAUUACUGGGUGUAAAGGGAGCGUAGGCGGGAUGCCAAGUCAGCUGUGAAAACUAUGGGCUUAACCUGUAGACUGCAGUUGAAACUGGUAUUCUUGAGUGAAGUAGAGGUUGGCGGAAUUCCGAGUGUAGCGGUGAAAUGCGUAGAUAUUCGGAGGAACACCGGUGGCGAAGGCGGCCAACUGGGCUUUAACUGACGCUGAGGCUCGAAAGUGUGGGGAGCAAACAGGAUUAGAUACCCUGGUAGUCCACACUGUAAACGAUGAUAACUAGGUGUGGGGGGGUCUGACCCCUUCCGUGCCGCAGCUAACGCAAUAAGUUAUCCACCCGGGGAGUACGACCGCAAGGUUGAAACUCAGAGGAAUUGACGGGGACCCGCACAA